rnacentral:rRNA from 1 species
UACGAAGGGGGGCUAGCGUUGCUCGGAAUCACUGGGCGUAAAGGGUGCGUAGGCGGGUCUUUUAAGUCAGGGGUGAAAUCCUGGAGCUCAACUCCAGAACUGCCUUUGAUACUGAAGAUCUUGAGUCCGGGAGAGGUGAGUGGAACUGCGAGUGUAGAGGUGAAAUUCGUAGAUAUUCGCAAGAACACCAGUGGCGAAGGCGGCUCACUGGCCCGGUACUGACGCUGAGGCACGAAAGCGUGGGGAGCAAACAGGG